rnacentral:lncRNA from 1 species
GUUUUCCUUUCUGACUUCUGUCUACCAGGCCUCACAGGAGCUUUUGCACAUUUACAAUCCUGCAUGUGUGUGGAUGUAUGUUUGCGUGUGUUACUGGGGACCAUGGAGCCCCUCACAGGAGGAUGCACACACCGUCCUGUGCAGGCCACGAAGAACACUGGACAGGGAAGAGGGAGGAGGCCCAUGCAUGUCCAGGAUUGGAGCCUUGGUCUCCCUAGCACAGUUUCUGGGAGGAGAGAAGUGGGUGAGGUUGAGCAUCCCUCUCUUUUAUUGUCUUCCUAAAGAGAAUGUAAUUCUGAGGAAGACGGAGUCUCUGAGGAUCUUCUCUGGAUUCUCAAGGUCGAGGCCACUGGGUACAUAGAAGAGUAAUCCAGGGAUUGUUUCACAUGCAGCCCUUCCCUUGUAGGCAUCUUCCCGAAAGAGUUACAGGCUCUUUCCCAUCACAGAGAUCCAUGCAGACUCACGUGCACAGCAGCAGAGUUCAUCGUAGCUGCAUCUUGGAAGCAGCCUAAGUGUCCAUCGACACCGGAGAGUGGGGAGUUGACAUGCAGCUGGGUACUACUCUGCCAAGAAGAAGGGUGAGCUUGAGUGUUUUUAGGAAAAGGAAUGCAUCUCGAGACCACAAUGUUAAGUGAAGUAGGUCAGACACACAAGCUUCAGUAUCACAUGGUUUCACUUAUGUGGGGAAACAAAGCACAAAGUAAAAGACAGAUAAUAUGAAAUAGGGAGGUAGGUCCUCUGCAGAUAGAAGAGGAACUAGAGCUGGAAGGUGGGGGGGGGGGAUGCUUAAGAAUGAGGAUGUGUCAUGCACAACAAAUGCAAUCACUGUGUACUGCAAACAUGUCUCGGAAACAUAAAAAAGAAAAACACAAGUUGGAAAUUUAAGAUUACCCCAAGAUUCUGGCCCUGUGGGAUGAGGUCCAGGAAUGCAAACAUGUUCCAAGUGCCCAGGUUUGGGAGUUGGUGGUCCACGGGCUGCACCGAGAGGCCUCAGCCAUGUGGACGAAGCCUUGGUGUAUGGCUCCCCCUCAGCCCUUAUGGGGCCCUGUGGCACCUGAUGCGGUCCAUACCCCAAGAGGGCUCUGUCUACUGCUGCGCACCAAGUGUCAUCCAAACCAGCGCAAGGAAGCUGCGCCUGGCCCUGUCCAAGGUGGCGCCCAGCCUUCCAGCACCACCUUCCAGCCGGCCCUGCCCGGGGUCACACGGGCACUGCUCUCUCCUGCAGCCCAGCCGGAAGGAAGCAGCCAGGCCACCUGUGCCAGACCUGUUAAGCCAGCUGCCGAAGCCCAGUCUCCUCAUUUCCAGUUCCCACUCGCUCUUCACCCUCAUGUCCAGUGCUCUUCCACGUCACUCAGCCGCGUCUUCAUGAAAACGAGGGCCAGGCGCACCCACGGGCUGCUGUGCAGCUCACAGAACACUUGGGUUCACAUCGUGCCACUGCAGGUCAUGGCCUGGCCAGGAAAGCGGGUGACAGCUUGGAGACCCAGCUCCAGCCCAGACUGUGCACUGUCCUCCCCAGCCUUGCAUCUCCGCCGCAUCCUUUGGAGUAGUUGUUGAUUCCUG